GUCGGGAUAGCUCAGCUGGUAGAGCAGAGGACUGA
rnacentral:tRNA from 31 species